CAUAUGAGUAGUUCUCACCAGUGGAAUGUAGUGAAAACAAGAUGCUGUCUCUUAGGGACUAAGGAAGCUGUCUUUCCUCUUCCGACAUUUGCUGAUUGGUUGAUGCUAGAUGAUCUUGAGACCCUGUGCUGAGCACUGGAGAACUGCAGGAAAGGAGUAGUGGAAGGUCGCUUGUGUAGCCCCUGAUGACUGUGAGCCUCUUCCUCCUGCUUGCCACCUCUCAGUCACAAGAUGGCUGCUGUGACUCAGGCUCAUGUCCCAACUCAAGGCAGCAAGAAGGCCAUGGAGUGGCAUCUGCCAGCUCCCGUCACCCCAUCCCCUAGAAUUGUUGACAAAAUGAGUGAAUCUGCCAUGGGAUCUGGGUCUCUGGAUGAGGCCUUGGAGCCACUGCCUCUGCCUGUGAGUUCACCCAUCAUCGCUAACAGGUUACUCCACAGCCUUUCAGAUCUCAAUAUUUCCCUAGCACAAAACCCAAGCGGCCAGGCACGGUGGCUCACGCCUAUAAUCCCAGCACUUUGGGAGGCCGAGGCGGGUGGAUCACUUGAGGUCAGGAGUUCGA
rnacentral:lncRNA from 1 species